rnacentral:rRNA from 1 species
UACAGAGGGUGCAAGCGGUAAUCGGAGUUACUGGGCGUAAAGGGCGCGUAGGCGGGUAUUUAAGUUUGAUGUGAAAUCCCUGGGCUUAACCUAGGAACUGCAUUGAAAACUGGAUGACUGGAGUACUGUAGAGGGUAGUGGAAUUUCCGGUGUAGCGGUGAAAUGCGUAGAGAUCGGAAGGAACACCAGUGGCGAAGGCGGCUACCUGGACAGAUACUGACGCUGAGGCGCGAGAGCGUGGGGAGCAAACAGG